GACGAACGCUGGCGGCGUGCUUAACACAUGCAAGUCGAACGGAAAGGCCUGCUUUCCCUUGUGGAUUGCGGGUACUCGAGUGGCGAACGGGUGAGUAACACGUGAGUGAUCUGCCCCCAACUUGGGUAUAAGCCUGGGAAACUGGGUCUAAUUCCCGAUAGGACUGCAGGGUGGUGCCUGUGGUGGAAAACGAUUUUCUAGUGGUUGGGGAUGAGCUCGCGGCCUAUCAGCUUGUUGGUGGGGUAAUGGCCUACCAAGGCGGCGACGGGUAGCCGGCCUGAGAGGGUGGACGGCCACAUUGAGACUGAGAUACGGCCCAGACUCCUACGGGAGGCAGCAGUGGGGAAUAUUGCACGAUGGGCGGAAGCCUGAUGCAGCGACGCCGCGUGGGGGAUGACGGCCUUCGGGUUGUAAACUCCUUUCGACCGCGAGGAAGCCACCUGGUUGGAAGGGUGGUGACGGUAGUGGUAGAAGAAGCACCGGCUAACUACGUG
rnacentral:rRNA from 1 species